UCCAGUUCUCACAGGGCUCUUUGGAAGAGAGUAAAUGACCUACUUGUCUUUCUGACUGCGGGGGAAAUGGCAACAUGACGGCAAUUAACAGAUUAAUGUCUUCAGGUUGAGCCUGUGUCCAGUGGAGAGAAGACUCUCCACAGAAACGGAGCCUCAGAAAUGAGCACCACACUGCUCUUCCUGUGCUAAGCCUCAAGGAUGCACCCCGAAGGAUCCAGGCUCCGAGCCGCAGGCUGCCUGUCAGUAGAGAAACCUUGAUUCUGAAGCCUUGGAGACUAGCAGAUGGGUGAGUCAUCUUUCAAGAGUGGCAGGUGCCUGGGACAUCCACAGCCUCCUUGCCACCCCAUGAGGCCUGGAUCCAGUCUUUGUUGGAGAACGUGAACAUACCCUUGGCCGCAACGUUGAGCUAAUCUAACCAAGUCAGAAGGGAUAUCCUGUGACUUUAGCCUGUCAAGUGUGCCUGAGAAAUAAAAGGAGGGAAAUAACCCCCCAAAACAACAAAUACCACGCCCCAGCCAUCAACAAAGAGAGCAGAAACAGCUGGCCACAGCACUGCCAGAUGUAAGUUACAGUGUGGAGUGCACAGAAACAGAUACAUCUCGUCCUUCUUUUGUAAAGAUGGAAAUUUCACUGUUGAUUUUGAAGUUUUUGACUUAGUUCUUUAGUGCUAUGUGCCCUUUAAGGGCCGAUCCAGCCAUCACUCAUAAUUUUGAUAUGAUCUGUGAGUCAGCUGGCCUGGUUUCAAUUUAUGCUGCAAGUCUGGAGGUCAGGUCUCCCGGAAGGCUUUUCAUCCUCCUUGGUCCCACUAGGCUAUUCAAGGCACAUUCUUCUCAAGGUGAUGGCCAACACAUAUCCAGGGGUGAACCCAGCCUCCCACACGGUUCAAGCUCCUUUGUGCAUCGCAUCUGCUAACAUUCCAUCAGGCAAAGCAAAAAUACAUAGCCAAGGCCAAAUUUCAGUGAUUGGAAAGGAGACACUGAGUUCAACGAGAGAGCACACGAACCCGCAAGGCAAAAGGUAUGAUGGAUAUAGGAAGCCGUGGAGAGUUGGGUACAAUAAUUUAACCCACUGAAAUCCAAAAAGGCCUUCACUGAAAUGCGUUUGAAGCUGAGGAAGAAUUUGAGGUGUGCAGUUCCUCUUGGCAAACCACAAAGGAAACAUCUGAGAGAUGGGAAGAAGUUACGCCUAUAGGGGAGAGUGAACAGCUAUCCUAAGGUAGCAAGAGGUGGGAUGAACGAGGAAGAAGCUGAGGUCAUCCUGUUGUUGCCGUGUUCCUCAGUGGAAUUCACUGACAAUAGCAGCCGAGUUUGUGAAUGUUCAGAGAAGUGCAUAAGCAAAGGAAAAUCGGGAACACUAAAUUCCACAGACAGUUUGAAGAUGAUGUUAGGAGUCAUCUGUAAUAACACACUGUCCAGGAAUGCAAGCCACAGUAAGGGUGGACACGGAACAUGUGAGUGUCCUCCUGAGGUUUCUGGGAGCAUUUUAAGUUGACACUAGUUGAUACUGGUUCUCUGCUAGGCAAGUAGGGCCUUCUCUUUGAGCUAUCACAUUUGAAUAACAUCUAUUUUCUAUCCCGGUGAAGCAAGCUAUAAUUGAUGUUUGUUUAAUUCAAGCAGCUUUCUCACCAGUAAUAAUAAGAAUAAUUAUAAUUUCUCUGUUAGAAAUUAGAUUAAAUUUAGUUGCUUCCUGGGCCUCUGAGCCCAAAGGUAUUUGUUUGAAUAUAGGAUUAUCAUUGCCUAGAAGUUUAACUCAAAUUGUUCAUGGUCACUUGUAUAUCUUAUCACUCCUCCAGUUAUAAAUUGUAGGACCUAAACCAUAUAAACACCUGAUAAAGAGCUAUACAAGAUAGUUUCUAACUUAAGUUAUCAAAUCCAAGAACAGUAAAGUCUAUAAAUGCUUUGAAGCAGUAGAUCCAAUGAAACUCUUGACCUACUAAAGUCUGAAACAAAUCUAAUCAUAGAAAUGUUUUCAAACGAACCCUGACAAUGACGACAGUGCUAACUCAGCAAUGACAACGUAAAGAGCCAAACAUCCUGAACUACAGCACGGCACAGAACGGAAAGCAGUUAAGCACAACUAGACACUUGUAUGUUCGUUUAAACAUGAAGGAGAAGACCUUAGUAAGUGGCAGCCCUGUAUGGAAGACAGAGCAGAGAAUAAACGCACAUUCAGGAUGGACUGCAAAGCAGUAGGCUAAGAAGACCGAGACAAAAGUCACACAGGCCUCUCAUAUGCACAUAUGAGUUUAUGAAUUGUAUGUAUGUGUGUUUAAGAGUGAAUGAGUGUGAAUGCAGGCUGUAAAACUAGACAUAAGAAGAUAAAGGUAUCAAGGAAGCAAGGGAGAGCAAUAGGACUCAUGAGACAUAAAAGCAUAAAAGUUUAUGGCCAGUAUGAGGGGAAUAUGGGCUGAAAGGGGAUGGGGGAAAAGAGGAAUAAGAGAAUUAACAAAAACAAAUUUUGCUUGAGAAUGUCUUACUACUACCUAAUAAUGUUCAUGCUAAUUUGAAACUAAUUAAAUACAUAAAUAAAUAACAUUUUUUUAAAAAAAAAAACUGUUUUCUUGACACUUGGCCAAGAAAGAAGAAACAAAAUCAGCAAGCAAACAAAAGGAACAAAUGAAUCUGGAAAACCAUCAUUACUACAGAGCAGCUAAGGACGGGCGGCAUUACACUGUAGACGCUCCUGUCAGAGCACUAAUGUGCUGAGGAAAAGAAUGGGGGCAGAAACACCUCCCCUGAGAACCAGCAGCUCUGAAGUCCAUCCAGUGGGGGUGAUGCACCAUCAGGAGAUGCCAGCUCCUCAUCUUUACCCCAUACUUAGUAAUAUACCCAGCUUUUAAUCACUUAUCUGGGAGAGAGGCAACAGGUUAGCUCAAGAGUCAUAGUUUCUGGUAUUUUUAUAGUCUAGAUUACGUAGACAUUUGGAAAAAUAUUGUAUCUCCGGAUUUGGAAAUAAUAUAGUUUUGAAAAAAAAAGCAAAACAAAUGACAUUGCAGUAUCCAGGGUCAAGUUGCAACCAAUGGAGAGUGUAUCCAGCUGCCACUCCUGAUACUGUGCUACACAAAAUCACCAUUUUCAUGAAGGAAGAAGAGCCCACAGCAUCCUUCCCCCUGCUCUUUUGUUCUUUAUCUAAGCCUCCUCUUCAGAGCUCUUUCUUGAAGACCUCCAGACCUAGGAAGGCGAGGACAAGAAGGAGGUGAAAGGAUUCUUCACAAAUACUGAGUUCCAGCCUGUAGGAAGGUUCAGGCCACAUUUCCCUUUCUUGCAGCUCCUGUAAGACUGAUGGGCUGCUACUAAAGCUUCAGUCAGACAAGCAGGCAUCCAUCUCCUCUAGAAAGCGUGACAUAGGAGACAGGGGUAGUGGUGCACAAAGAAUCACAGCCGCACUCAGGAAACCGACCAGGAGGAGAGUGACUUAAAGGCCAGCUUGACCUGGUCUCAAAAACCCAAACCGAAACCUAUCCUUAAAAAGAAGAAAAUAUGAACAAUGACCUCUGUUGUGGGCUUUUAUUUUUUCCUUGUCCCAGCUCUAUUGCUGAGAGAAGAAAGAUGUGCAGCCUGGAGAUGCUCAGUAGAUGUCCCGGUUUCAAGCUGGUUUUGGAUCUGUGGUGCCACAUCUUCUUGGCUGUCUACAGAUAUUUGUUAAAGUAAUGAAGUUCUGAUUAAUCAAAUGGAUAAUUCUAUGUACAGACCAGUGAAGAAAGGUUAAAGCAUACAGUGAUAGUAAAUAGCCUCAGUGUCUUCACUUUUUGAGGCUGAGGUUCUCAAGCACAAGGUAUGACCGUGUUAACAUCUGUCACCUUCCGAACUUUCUGGAUCCAUCCCUCUCUAUUAUAGGGACAGCGCCACUGAGCUGAGAUGGGAGGUUUAAACUACGAGAGUGUGUUCAAAGGAAGGCUGUAUCAAUUUAAAGAAAAGAAAUGAGAGAGAAGAAGCACCCAUAGUUCUCCCUCUAGCAGUCAAAACUGUAAGAAUGUUAAUUGGAACCAAUUUUGUAUUGUAGUCUUUGUCAUAUUGUAAUGUGAUCCCCAGCCAACUGAUGUUUGUGUUCUCAAAAAAGCAUUAUUGGUAAAAUGUAGAACAAGGAGGAUAAUAGUCGUGCAUGCUCAUUUAGAAGAAUUGGUCGGACCCUUAUAUAUGCUAAUGUGCCAAGAAAACAUUGUGUGCAGGUCUACAUGCUUGAUUCCCCAACCAGUGUUGAUAAAAAUGGUGGCCUAGGCCACUCAUCUAUGAUUCACUUUGGCAUCGACACAAUAUCAAUUACAUAAAGAAAGCAUAUAUCCUAGACUAGAUACUAAUGAGGUUUUGUUGUUGUUGUUGUUGAUUGGGUUAUGGUGUGUGUGUGUGUGUGUGUGUGUGUGUGUAUAUAUAGUCUCAAGUAUUUGAGGCUGGCUCUCAACUCCCUAUGUAGCCAGAGUAUCUUGAAUUUCUGAAUCUCCUGCCUCUGCCUACUAAGCAUUGGUACCAUUCCCAGUUUAUGUCAUGCUGGGGACCCAAUCCAAUCCGGGGUUUCUCAUAUGCCAUAUAAGUGUCCUGCAAACAGAGCUACAUACCAGCCCUCCCGACAAGCUUUUGAGACUUGAUAUCACAUCAUGCCCUCUGAUCACAAUGUGCUUAUUAGAAUGUUACAGCUAUUUUGGUCUGGUUCUUCAAAGGUGAUUGUUGAAUUGCAGAAAAUUUGUGAAUGGAUUAUAAAAGCAGUUAUUAUGAUAAAGAAAUAACGUGAAUUUAUAAUUAAGUUGAAAAUAAGACAAACUUAGUAUAAAACCUCAACCACUCCCCAACUAUUUUAGUAUCAUUUGUUUCCUGAAGUUGUUUGCAUCCAUCCCAUCAGUGUGGAGGAAAUGCCACACACCGGAAUGCUAUUGAGUGGUCCUCCUCACUUCCAUGUUCAGUGAUGUCACAUCGGUAGCUUGUAAUGGACCAUGGUGUUAGGUCCCCAUUAAAAUAGAGAAUGUAUCAGAGCUCCGUUCUUUGUUUGCUUAUCAAGAGGAGAAGCAUAAAGGACAGCAAGCUAACAAUGUGGAAUAAGCUCAAGCAUGUUCAAUAAGUAUAUUGGAUUUGAAACAUUUAGGAGACUAUUACUGUAUUUAGCUAUAGGAAAACUUCAAUUUUAUUUUGUUUUUAAUUAAAAUAUAAUUAUAUCAUCUCUCCUCCUCUUCCUCCAAUACCCCCAAACCUCCAAUCUCUUCUUCUCUUUCAUUAUUAUUGUUAUAUACACAUAUAGAAUAUGUACAUAUAUUACAGUCUGCCAAGUCCAUUUAGUGUUGCUUGUAUGUAUAUGUGUCUUUAGGUUUGACCAGUUGGUAUUGGAUAACUAGUUAAGGAACUCAUCCCUUAGGAAUAACCAUAGAAAAAUUUAAAGAAGCCUUCAACCUGUGUCAAGAUUUGUUCCUUAGUUUUAUGUGCCCUUUCCUGGACAGAAAUGGGAAGACCUUCACAUAUUCCCAGGGAGGCCUCUGGGCUUCUAGUCUUGAUGUCAUGUGUGGAGUAAUCACUCUAAAACCCUAGUUGAGCAUAUUCUCUCAGGACCAAUCUUGACAUCAUCAAUUGGGUAUCUGUUAGAAACAGAUGUAGAGACAGAACAAUAGAAAGUACUCUGAAAAAUCAGUGUUUGUGGAAGGAGUGGAGGACAAUGGACUGGAGUGGAGGACAAUGAACCAGAAGGAAAAAUGGAGCCCUACAGUUUCCCAAUGAACGGUUCAGUUGAGCACAUGGGAAGCUGUGAAUUCCUUUGGAGUUCUAAGUUGGGGCUGUCGCACCCUGACUUUUACACCCUUGCAUGAUCAGUCUUCAAAAAUGAGACAAGGGUAACAUUGCAGUUUUCUUUCUCAUCGCAGUCUCCAGGGAGGGCUGACAGGCGAGACCUGUCUUUUGGCAGCACUGGAAGGAGCAUUCACUGUAGGGGAUGGAGGAGGUCCUGAGUGAAUAAAGUACGCGGUUGACCUGGGAAUGAUCAUAUCAAACACCACGGUCAUAUCAAAGAUCCAUAAGACGACAGUCAAGCUUACCCACAGGGUGCAGCUCAGAGGGAUGCCAAGUCCUUUCCCUGGCUCAUGUAUGGAUGUUGACAGUGUGUUAGUGUGCACAUAAAAUGUCCCCCAUAGUUCCUCCCUUCCCCAGCUAUAGAGAUUAGCUACACCUGCCUCCCUGCUCUAGCUCUGUACCAUACAAAGGCAGGCUCUGUACCUGCCUCCUCAUUGAUCUGUGUGUAAUAGCCCCGUCUCAUUGUUCAACUAUAAACAAUAACCUCACCUCUCUGUUCAGCUGUGUGUAACCUACUAAGAGGAGCUGCAGUUUCUGCAUCCAAGAUCUCAGUCCACCUGCUGGCAUUUUCUGUGUAUCUAUUUUUCUGUGUGUGUGUGUGUGUGUGUGUGUGUGUGUGCGCGCGCGCGCGCGUGUGUCUUAUUUCUUUGCUCCCCCCAUCAAACCAAGUUUCUGGAACCAUGCACAGAUGCAGUAUUUCAUAUCUGAAGAGCGACAAAGCACCAGUGCAUAGUACCCACAACAUGACAAGCACUGU